UUCGUUUGUGCAGUUUUGGUUUCUGAGAUAUUAAAAAUUAUUUUUUAGGUCAUCUAGAGUUCACCAUCCCCCCAUAGCGCUCCAAAAGAAACCAAAGUGGGCUAGUUCGUUAGUGCUCCGUUUGUGCAGGUUUGUGCAGUUAAACCUGUCGUUUGUGCAGCUUUUGUUUUUGAGAUAUUAACAAUUAUAUUUACAUUGUUGACGUACUGUCUGCUGAUUAUGCGAGAAGCCUUUCGCUGCAGCGCCUUUUGGAUAUCCAACUCCGCCCAUCCAAGUCGGCCAUUUUGAUGACGUCAUGCGGCUAUGAGCUUUCUUAGUGCAAACAAAACUUUACUGCCCAUAGCAAAUCGGAAAACGAACGAUGUCGAUCUGUCAGUGUGCAGACCAGACUGUUGGGGCCUACCCCAUUUAAGACAUCUGCUUGCCAGAUCAGGCAUCAGAGUCACAGGUUGACUAUGUGCUCGAUGCCAGAACAUCAGAAACCAAGAAUAUUGGGACAAUUGGCACUACCAACUUAAAACGGCAAGACUUCCAGUCACUUGGUUUGCAGCACAACUUGGAAGCGACAAUUGCCAACAGCUGCAUGGAGCUCAUUUGUGACAUGGCCUGGUGGAAGAAGAAGGAUGUGUAUGCACCGGA